UACGUAGGGGGCGAGCGUUGUCCGGAUUUAUUGGGCGUAAAGAGCUCGUAGGCGGCUUGGCAAGUCGGGUGUGAAACCUCCAGGCUCAACCUGGAGACGCCACUCGAUACUGCCAUGGCUAGAGUCCGGUAGGGGACCACGGAAUUCCUGGUGUAGCGGUGAAAUGCGCAGAUAUCGGAAGGAACGCCGGUGGCGAAGCGAACGUGCUGGACCUCUUCUGACGCUGAGGCGCGAAAGCCAGGGAGCGAACGGG
rnacentral:rRNA from 1 species